rnacentral:rRNA from 1 species
UACGUAGGGUGCGAGCGUUGUCCGGAAUUAUUGGGCGUAAAGAGCUCGUAGGCGGUCUGUCGCGUCGGUCGUGAAAACUUGGGGCUUAACCCUGAGCUUGCGGUCGAUACGGGCAUGACUGGAGUUCGGCAGGGGAGACUGGAAUUCCUGGUGUAGCGGUGAAAUGCGCAGAUAUCAGGAGGAACACCGGUGGCGAAGGCGGGUCUCUGGGCUGAUACUGACGCUGAGGAGCGAAAGCGUGGGGAGCAAACAGG